AACACCCUUCUCUUGGUAUGCAUUUUAAAACAAUGGCUGCGGCUUAGGCAGAGCUCUGUCUUCUGCAUGCUAAAACAGGCAAUCGCACAAAGCUACCAUUCGUCGGCUAACACCUGCGCGCCUCUUAAGGUGGAAGUCAUGCUAUGAGCCCGGCGGGGUCAUUCGUCCCAAUGACCGUCACCCGAUUACCGAUAGGCCCGGCUCGUCCGGGCUCAGGAACAUAUCCCAUGGGCUCGCCCAUGCGUAAAUUCCACUCGCUCAUUGGCAUAGAUCCCUCGCAGACGACGUGGCUCAAACACGGUGUUGUAAGAAGUAGAGUGGCCUUGCUGCGACGAUCUUCUGAGACUGAGCCAUUGUUCGCACGAUUU
rfam:Coccomyxa subellipsoidea C-169, whole genome shotgun sequence.